rnacentral:lncRNA from 1 species
GUCUACAUUCUUCAAUGAUCUCAUCUUGGAAAGCAGCUAGUUUUAGAGAGGCCUGCAGCAAUGUUCUGAGGAACAGAAAUACUGUCAUUCGACUUCAGAACUGAGGACAACUGAGGUAAAUCCUUCCCCUGCUUCAGUGCCCAAGACACUUCGGUCAUCACGAUGAACUCACCUAUCCGGGCCCCAUGUACAAUGACAAGAUAGGACCUUCCACCGCACGGCUCCAGACAACUGAGAGUGGCUGCUUUUAGUCUCUUGUUUCUCAGAGAGUUGACACCCUGAGGAGUUCGUG